GAGCUGGGAUUUAAGUUGCAGCAAAACUUUACAUCACAACUUACAAACAAAUCCUCAGCGGAGUUCAAGCAAUUAAGUGACAACGUUACCACGGCGCUCAACACAAUCUAUUCAGAGAAAUAUGGAGCUGCCUUCAAUCGAACUUUCAUCAAAGGCUUCCGUUACAGUCAAGGAUCCGUUGUUGUCGAUGCUGUUCUGAUAUUCAAUAAUGGGACUACACUGCCUAAUGCCAGUUCUGUGGCGAAAACUUUGGAGACUGCUUCGUCCAGCUCAAAUUUUUCCCUCAGUGUCAACACAUCUUCUAUUACUGCAUCUGGACCAGUAAAUGUAACCACAUCGCCACCAGUCUCCACAAUGCCACCAG